rnacentral:rRNA from 1 species
UGGGGAAUUUUUGGCAAUGGGGGCAACCCUGACCAAGCAACGCCGCGUGGGUGAUGAAGUCUCUUGGGACGUAAAACCCUUUCGACGGGGAAGAAACCGCAAGGUUGACGGUACCCGUAGAAGAAGCCCCGGCUAACUCCGUGCCAGCAGCCGCGGUAAUACGGGGGGGGCAAGCGUUGUUCGGAAUUACUGGGCGUAAAGGGCGCGUAGGCGGUGCUCUAAGUCGGAUGUGAAAACUCUGGGCUCAACCCAGAGCCUGCAUCCGAAACUGGAGUGCUAGAGUUCUGGAGGGGGUAGCGGAAUUCCUGGUGUAGCGGUGAAAUGCGUAGAUAUCAGGAGGAACACCGGUGGCGAAGGCGGCUACCUGGACAGAAACUGACGCUGAGGCGCGAAAGCUAGGGGAGCAAACAGGAUUAGAUACCCUGGUAGUCCUAGCCCUAAACGAUGGAUACUUGGUGUGACUGGGAUUGAAUCCAGUCGUGCCGAAGCUAACGCAUUAAGUAUCCCGCCUGGGGAGUACGGUCGCAAGGCUGA